rnacentral:rRNA from 1 species
GUGUCAGCAGCCGCGGUAAGACGAACCGUGCGAACGUUGUUCGGAAUCACUGGGCUUAAAGGGCGCGUAGGCGGGCACUCAAGUCGGUGGUGAAAUCCUCCAGCUUAACUGGAGAAGAGCUGUCGAUACUGGGUGUCUCGAGUGGUGCAGGGGUCUGCGGAACUUCGGGUGGAGCGGUGAAAUGCGUAGAGAUCCGAAGGAACGCCGGUGGCGAAAGCGGCGGACUGGGCACCUUCUGACGCUGAGGCGCGAAAGCCAGGGGAGCAAACGGGAUUAGAUACCCCCGUAGUCC